GACGAACGCUGGCGGCGUGCUUAACACAUGCAAGUCGAACGAAGAGCGAUGGAAGCUUGCUUCUAUCAAUCUUAGUGGCGAACGUGUGAGUAACGCGUAAUCAACCUGCCCUUCAGUGGGGGACAACAGUUGGAAGCGACUGCUAAUACCGCAUACGAUCUAAUCUCGGCAUCCAGUAUAGAUGAAAGGUUUCCUCUACAUGUAAACUAUCACUGAAGGAGGGGAUUGCGGCUGGUUAGCUAGUUGGGUGGGUAACGGCCCACCAAGGCGAAGAUGAGUAGUCGGACUGGAAGGAUGAACGGGCAAAUUGGGACUGAGACAAGGCCCAGACCUCUAAGGGAGGCAGACGUGGGGAAAUUUUCGACAUUGACGAAAGUCUGACGGAGGAAAGCCGGGGGAGUGAUGAAGGCUCUUGGGUUGGAAAGCUCUGUUAAUCGGGAAGAAAGGCAUUCUUGCGAAUAGUGAGAAGGAUGGACGGUACCGGAAUAGAAAGCCACGGCUAACUACGUG
rnacentral:rRNA from 1 species